UACAGAGGGUGCAAGCGUUAAUCGGAAUUACUGGGCGUAAAGCGCACGUAGGCGGCUUGGCAAGUUGGGUGUGAAAUCCCCGGGCUCAACCUGGGAAUUGCAUUCAAGACUGCCUUGCUCGAGUUUGGUAGAGGGAAGUGGAAUUCCAGGUGUAGCGGUGAAAUGCGUAGAUAUCUGGAGGAACAUCAGUGGCGAAGGCGACUUCCUGGCCCAAAACUGACGCUGAGGUGCGAAAGCGUGGGGAGCAAAC
rnacentral:rRNA from 1 species